ACUCUGAGAUGGGACGAAGACCAGGACUCUGUCAUCUUCCAAGUCUCCAACCCCCGCCUUGCCUCUUCUGGGGGGACCCUGGGACCACACUCUCAUGGCAUGAUUGCUUUAUAGGUGGGCCUUGCCAACCCUCAUCUCCCAGAUGCCUGCUUCCAGCCGCUUCUCUGAUAGCAUAUCUCCGUGAAGUCAGGGUUUAGACUUUUAAACCAGAUCUUUAAACCAGUGCAUAUUUACUGUGGCCUUGGCCAAAUUACUUCACUUUUCUGAGCUUCAAGUGCCUCUUCUAUAACGUGGGCCUAGUAAUAAUUUUACCUGUCUUGCAUGGUUGUUGUGAGAUUGAAGGUGCUGUUUCACGUGGAGUUCUUGGUUCACAGGAAGUCCCCUGGGAGGCACGCUGUCAUUGCUUCUGUUAUUGUUUCCUGUCGGCCCAGUAGACACAAACAGAGCAGCAUCUUCGCCCCUCUCCGUCUCUCACAGGCCAUCUGUUUGCCUCCGUUUGAACUCAGCCAUGCCAAAGGUGACAUGAACCUUCUCGCCGAGAAGCCACUGGUGUUGGCUGGCACGCUGAAAGUUUUCACAGGUAGAAGGAAGAGUACAAGACCAUGGACACAGGCUGUGUGACAGAAAUACACCUGUUACAGGUCACUGCCACCUGGACUCACAGCUGCCUUUAUCUGGCAGUGUCCUGCAUCACCUGACCUUCAUCGAGAGGUCCGGGUGAGGUAGACAGCUGCCCUUCCUGCCAUUCUGCCACUGUGGAGGGAAACUGGGCCUUGGCCCUGGUUCCCGGGCCACUGCGAACAUGCACUGGGUGAGAUUCUGGGCUCAGAAUGAUACUGGUGUGUACAGAAGCAGACAGGUGUGGGGAAGGGAAGUCGCUUUGUGUGAACAGGUGCAUUAGUUACUUUCCUGAUUGUCGCGACCCGAUACCUGAGAAAGGCAACUUAAGGAAGGAAGGGUUUGCUUUGGCCCGCGGUUCUAGGGAACGUAGUCCAUCCGAGUCGGGGAAGGUGGAGCAGUAUGAGCUGGUGUCGGGUGUCAUUGCAUCCAGAGUCCAGAAUCAGAGAGCAAUGAAUGAAUGCUGGUGUUUGGCUUGAUCUCUGUUCUAUACAGGAUCCCAGCCCAGGUCACGGCGCUGCCGAGGUGGAGAUGACCCUUCCCAGCUCAGUUAAAUUAAUCUAGAUCAUCCCUCAUAGGCAUGGCCACAAGAUUUCCCCCUAGAUGAGUCUGGAUCCUGUCGGUUUGACAGUAAUGGCCAUCACAGCAAGCUGAGAGGCUGGUUUGUAUCACCUCAUGUCACCCUCCAAUCACACAGGGGGAGGUGCAGGGGCCAUCUCCGGGUGAGAAAGCUAACUCUCUAGUUUGAGAGCCAUUGAGUCCCCUGCUCAUAGUGUCCCAGCUGGAAUAUGACAGUCCAGGAUUGGCAGGUGUGGUCUGUCUGCCUUUCCAGCUCAUACUGUGAUCUCGUAUUUUGUCUUCCUGGGCUGGCUGCUAUAACAAAUUGCCUUGGGCUUGGUGGCCAAUGUAGGGCAGGUACUUAUUUCUUACUGUUCUCAAGGCUUAAAGUCCAAUACCAAGAUGUCGUCAGAGUUGGUGUCUGAUGGAGGCCCACUUGCUGCCUCGAAGAUGGUGCCUGCUUGGCAUGACCUCAUAUGAAGAGCCGAGGGAUCUCCCCAGCAUCUUUUUCACAGGACCCUAAUGCUGUUUGAGAUGGCUCUACCCUUAUAGCGCAUUCAUCCCUUACCCAGAGGCCCCUUCACCCGGCAGCAUCACUUAUGGAUUAGAAUCCCAGUGCAUGGUUUUGAGAAGGCUGUCAGCACUGCCUCCAUAACAUACGUGUUGUUGUUUAUGACCCACUGCAUGACCUGCACUGUAUGAGGCACUGCCACCAUGGGCUCCCUAUCUGGCUAUCUUAGGUGAUCAGAGUCAGCAGAGGUGCUCUGCCAGCUACAAGUCACCUACAGUUUCUCUCCAGAUAGGCUGUGGAUGGCCUGGCCAUCUGUUGUAGGGGCUCUGGGCCCUCCACUGCCUUGGACUCAGAGACCCUGCAGCUUUAUGCCUGGGAGACACCCUCGGAGGCAGUGACACAUGCCAGGACCCAGGGCUCACACUGAUAGUCCCAUCUUAUCCUUUCCUUCCCCUACCCACCGGCUAGUCUCACUGUCCCUCCCCCUGCCCCCCCCCCCACAUAUACCCCAUUCCAAUCCUCGGCUUUUGUACCUUAUGAUGUGGGGACCUGGGCGAGUAAAGUCAUUAAAGUCAUUAUUCCUUGCGCAGAAAUGUCAUUCAUGUUAUUCAUAUUUAACAUUCCCCCAGCUUGAUCUUUUUUGAUGCUUUUAAAUGCCUAGUAUGACAUUCUGCACACACACACACACACACACACACACACACACACACACACACACACACACAGGGGGGGGUGUCUUUACUCCUGGCAGCAAAAGGAGACUCCUUGUCACCUAUUUGUUAAUUUAUAAAAUAAUUCUUAUAUUUUGGGGAUUGAUUCUGGCUGCUGCCGGCUGAAUGCGAUUGUGGGGAUUGGAGAAUUGGGUGACACUGGGACAGGAGGAGGUAUGACAAAGUUCUGGGUUCAUGUUCCAACAGUCACUUGUCACUUCUGGCCCAGGUGUCCCUCUGUAAAAUGGCCAGCUCCACACCACGGGGCCUGAUCCAGAUGCCUGGGACAGACUGCUGCCAAUCAGGAGUCUUUUUAAAAUCUCCACUCAGAUUGAAAUCAUGGGUGGGCAAGGCGAAGGACUGGUCUUCAGCAGAUGGGAAAAGCAGCCAGGUGAGCAAGGCAACAAGGGAGACUCCAGCAGCUGCUGACUAGAGAGUCAAACUGGCCCAUCUCCCCAAGUCUUUGCUUAUUUGCAGGAUAAUGAACACCAGGAACGCUUAUAAAUAUAAAUAAGACCUUGUUAUUAACACUAAUUGUGAUUUUAAAAAAGUGUGUGUGUGUGUGUGUGUGUGUGUGUGUCUGUGUGUGUCUGUGUCUGUGUGUUCAUUUGUGCAUGGAUGCACUUAGAGGAGUUUAAGUCAAGUCCAAUCCAGGUAUCCUGCAGCAGACAUUGCAGGGAAGCCACCAUGGAGGAGCUGUGGCAGUGGAAGGUAUGGAGCAAUAUGGGAGAACACAGAUGCAGGGUACAGAGAACGUGACGUUACCGAAUAGGGCUGGCCCUCGGCCCAUGAGCUGGCCUGCAGCACAGAGCCCCAGUGGCGGCAGCCCACACUGCUUGCCAUGCUGGGAGGAGAGCUUGGAGUAGCAUCACUGCCUGGAGGCUGCAAGCACAAGGGCCAAGCCCCAUGAGCCUGGAUGCAGCCGUCACCGAGGGCCAGGAGAUGUGCAGCCACACGGAGCUCUCACGGAUCCUGUCCCUGGAUGCCCUCCUUAGCUGAAAGGUCAGCCUGACUCUGGGCAACAGCAGGAUAUCCAUGAUGAGUCUUGGUGAUGGUCCAGCAUUUAUGGCGACUCAGAAACCAAAAACCUUGAACCAGACCAAUGACUCAGGGCAAUGAGUCAUUGUACAUAAAAUACAUAAAGUUGUUUAGGCAAAAAAUACACUGUGGGACACACUGCCGUUUGCAAUGCCACAUCGAUGAAAAAGUAUGUGAUGGGGAGGUAGGAAAAAUGGAGGAAUGUAGCGGCUCAUGCGCAGUGGGAAGAGGUGGAACUGGAGACACCAUGGUGGUGACAAGUGUGGCAGAAGGCUUUGGGGUGUGUGUGUGGGGGGGAACGUUGUUGCUGAGUAGGGCCAGCAGGAUGGUGUGCAGCAGCCUAGAAGCUUGUAUAGGCUCUGUCCCCAAACACGCUACCCAGCUGCAUGAUCACCCUGGCUCUGAGCAACGAGAGGAUGUCCUUGAGAUGGAGAAUGGUUCAUUUUCUGGAUUGGGCCUCUUCAAAAGACCUCCAGGGUCCAUGCCACCCCAGAGACUGUCUUGAUAUCAAUUAUCCGUGUUAUAACUGGGGGACAUGCUGGUGUCUGUCCAUGGUCCAUGCUGCCAUCCCUGGCUGUGCUGAUGCCCAAGGUUCAUGUGGCUGUCUAUGGUCUGUGGUGUCACUAGAGGCCACAUCAAUGUUUAUGGCCCAUGCUACCACUGGAGGCAGGGUGGAUGUCUGUGGUCUGUGCUACUGCUGGAAGUCAUGUUGAUGUCAGUGAUCAGUGUCUCCACUGUUGGCCAUGUUGAUAUAUAUGGCCUGAGCUGCCUCCUGAGGCCAUGUUGAGGUCUGUAGUCUGUGUUGCUGCCAAGGGCCAUGCUGGUAUCUGUGGUCCUGCUGCUGCCUGGGUCAUGUGGAUGUCCAUGGUCCGUGUUACUGCAGAAGACCAUGCUGAUGUCCAUCCAUGGUCUGUGCUGCCACCUGAAGCCAUGCUGAUGUCCGUGGGCUGUGUGGCCUCCUAAGCCAUGUUGAUAUCUGUGGCCUGUGCUGCUGCUGGAGGCCAUGAUGGUAUCUCUGAUCCACGAUGCAGCUGAGGACCGUGUCGAUGUUUGUGGUCUAUACUGCCACUGGAGGCCAUAUUGAGGUCCACGGUACUUGCUGCUGCCAGAGGCUGUGUGGAUGCUUGUGGUCUGUGCUCCUGCAGGAGGCCAUGUUGAUAUCUGUGGUCUGCACUGCCACAGGAGACCAUGCUGAAGUCCAUGGAAGGCUUCCGUGACAACCUCUCUCCCCCAUAAUGCCCCCACCACACACAAAAAGAAACAGUCUAGACGGGAAGCUAUUGAAGAGAACUCUUAAAAAUUGUGAUAGGGACCCUGAAG